UUUGAAUUGUCGAACGAAAGCAAAAAGUCCUACAAUGAGCAGACUAAACGAAAACAGAAUAAAGUGUGCUUUGACUGAGCGCGAGCAAAAUUUUUAUACGAGCAACUCAAUCGGUUGCUCUCAGACUUUUUGCUCAAAGUCUCAGUGACAAACACUUAUUUUGAGACCGCUCGAAUCGGUUGACAGUUAUUUGCAAGCUAUGUAAAAAAAUGUUGUUUGAAUAAAAUAGCAAUACCAAUAACAUUUUAUUUUAAUAAAAAUCGAAAUGUGGUGAAAUUGACAUCAGCGAUUAAAAUUUGAAAUUGAAAUGAUGUGUUAUUCAUCUGUAUCUAAAACUUAUCUUUCAAAAAUAAAACAAGCCAGUAUGGAAGCCAGAAUCAGAACUUUUUUGAGAAACUCCUCGGCCGAUUUUGCAGAACUUUUUUUUCCAGAUGUAAAUCCAGAUGUUUUCAAUUUUAUUUAUUAAAUUGGCCCUGUUACAUACAUUGAAACAAAUAAAACAUACCGGGCA